AAAUAGACACAGUCACUAAAUUUAAAAAUUAUUAAAGUUUUUAAAUAUUAAUAACAAUAAAGUACAAGGCAUUGUUUUGUCUAUUCAAGCUUCUGUGCAAAUAUUAAGUGCUUUAAAAUUUUCUUCAAAGUCAUUCUAGAUGUAUUUUCGGUCGCUGAUGAAGGAUUUGGGGUCAAAAUUGACGAUAAAUAGUCUGCCUAAGAAAUAUUGAAUUUUUUGAAAAAUUUUUUUUUACGAUAACGCAUUAAAGGUCAUAAUAGGGGUCUUCCUCUACUCGGAUCGGGCUGUCAAUUUUUCUCUACACUUUUAAGUGUAUUUUAUGCAAGAAAUUGCAAUAAAAUAGUCUGCCUAAGAAAAAUUGAAUUUUUUUGAAAAUUUUUUUUUUUCGAAAAACGAUUUAAAGGUCAAAAUAUGUGUCUUCCUCUACUCGGAUCGGGCUGUCAAUUUUUUUCUACACUUUUAGGUGUAUUUUGUGCAAGAAAUUGCAAUAAAAUAGUCUGCCUAAGUAAAAUUGAAUUUUUUUGAAUAUUUUUUUUUUUCGAAAAACGAUUUAAAGGUCAAAAUAUGUGUCUUCAUCUACUCGGAUCGGGCUGUCAAUUUUUUCUACACUUUUAGGUGUAUUUUGCGCAAGAAAUUGCAAUAAAAUAGUCUGCCUAAGAAAAAUUUAAUUAUUUUGGGAACUUUUUUAUAAUUUUGGAUUUUUGGGUUAAAUGACAUUUAGGUGGUAAUAGGUGUCUUCCUCUACUCGGAUCGGGCUGUCAAUUUUUUUCUACACUUUUAGGUGUAUUUUGUGCAAGAAAAUGCAUUAAAAUCGUCUGCCUAAGAAAAAUUAAAUUAUUUUGGGAACUUUUUUAUAAUUUUGGAUUUUUGGGUUAAAUGACAUUUAGGUGGUAAUAGGUGUCUUCCUCUACUCGGAUCGGGCUGUCAAUUUUUUUCUACACUUUUAGGUGUAUUUUGUGCAAGAAAAUGCAUUAAAAUCGUCUGCCUAAGAAAAAUUAAAUUAUUUUGGGAACUUUUUUAUAAUUUUGGAUUUAUGGGUUAAAUGACAUUUAGGUGGUAAUAGGUGUCUUCCUCUACUCUUUUUUGGCUGUCAAUUUUUUUCUACACUUUUGGGUGUAUUUUGUGCAAGAAAAUGCAUUAAAAUCGUCUGCCUAAGAAAAAUUAAAUUAUUUUGGGAACUUUUUUAUAAUUUUGGAUUUAUGGGUUAAAUGACAUUUAGGUGGUAAUAGGUGUCUUCCUCUACUCGGAUCGGACUGUCAAUUUUUUUCUACACUUUUAGGUGUAUUUUGUGCAAGAAAAUGCAUUAAAAUCGUCUGCCUAAGAAAAAUUAAAUUAUUUUGGGAACUUUUUUAUAAUUUUGGAUUUAUGGGUUAAAUGACAUUUAGGUGGUAAUAGGUGUCUUCCUCUACUCGGAUCGGGCUGUCAAUUUUUUUCUACACUUUUAGGUGUAUUUUGUGCAAGAAAAUGCAUUAAAAUCGUCUGCCUAAGAAAAAUUAAAUUAUUUUGGGAACUUUUUUAUAAUUUUGGAUUUAUGGGUUAAAUGACAUUUAGGUGGUAAUAAGUGUCUUCCUCUACUCUUUUUUGGCUGUCAAUUUUUUUCUACACUUUUAGGUGUAUUUUGUGCAAGAAAAUGCAUUAAAAUCGUCUGCCUAAGAAAAAUUAAAUUAUUUUGGGAACUUUUUUAUAAUUUUGGAUUUAUGGGUUAAAUGACAUUUAGGUGGUAAUAGGUGUCUUCCUCUACUCGGAUCGGGCUGUCAAUUUUUUUCUACACUUUUAGGUGUAUUUUGUGCAAGAAAAUGCAUUAAAAUCGUCUGCCUAAGAAAAAUUAAAUUAUUUUGGGAACUUUUUUAUAAUUUUGGAUUUUUGGGUUAAAUGACAUUUAGGUGGUAAUAGGUGUCUUCCUCUACUCGGAUCGGGCUGUCAAUUUUUUUCUACACUUUUAGGUGUAUUUUGUGCAAGAAAAUGCAUUAAAAUCGUCUGCCUAAGAAAAAUUAAAUUAUUUUGGGAACUUUUUUAUAAUUUUGGAUUUAUGGGUUAAAUGACAUUUAGGUGGUAAUAGGUGUCUUCCUCUACUCUUUUUUGGCUGUCAAUUUUUUUCUACACUUUUGGGUGUAUUUUGUGCAAGAAAAUGCAUUAAAAUCGUCUGCCUAAGAAAAAUUAAAUUAUUUUGGGAACUUUUUUAUAAUUUUGGAUUUAUGGGUUAAAUGACAUUUAGGUGGUAAUAGGUGUCUUCCUCUACUCGGAUCGGACUGUCAAUUUUUUUCUACACUUUUAGGUGUAUUUUGUGCAAGAAAAUGCAUUAAAAUCGUCUGCCUAAGAAAAAUUAAAUUAUUUUGGGAACUUUUUUAUAAUUUUGGAUUUAUGGGUUAAAUGACAUUUAGGUGGUAAUAGGUGUCUUCCUCUACUCUUUUUUGGCUGUCAAUUUUUUUCUACACUUUUGGGUGUAUUUUGUGCAAGAAAAUGCAUUAAAAUCGUCUGCCUAAGAAAAAUUAAAUUAUUUUGGGAACUUUUUUAUAAUUUUGGAUUUAUGGGUUAAAUGACAUUUAGGUGGUAAUAGGUGUCUUCCUCUACUCGGAUCGGACUGUCAAUUUUUUUCUACACUUUUAGGUGUAUUUUGUGCAAGAAAAUGCAUUAAAAUCGUCUGCCUAAGAAAAAUUAAAUUAUUUUGGGAACUUUUUUAUAAUUUUGGAUUUAUGGGUUAAAUGACAUUUAGGUGGUAAUAGGUGUCUUCCUCUACUCGGAUCGGGCUGUCAAUUUUUUUCUACACUUUUAGGUGUAUUUUGUGCAAGAAAAUGCAUUAAAAUCGUCUGCCUAAGAAAAAUUAAAUUAUUUUGGGAACUUUUUUAUAAUUUUGGAUUUAUGGGUUAAAUGACAUUUAGGUGGUAAUAAGUGUCUUCCUCUACUCUUUUUUGGCUGUCAAUUUUUUUCUACACUUUUAGGUGUAUUUUGUGCAAGAAAAUGCAUUAAAAUCGUCUGCCUAAGAAAAAUUAAAUUAUUUUGGGAACAUUUUUAUAAUUUUGGAUUUAUGGGUUAAAUGACAUUUAGGUGGUAAUAAGUGUCUUCCUCUACUCGGAUCGGGCUGUCAAUUUUUUUCUACACUUUUAGGUGUAUUUUGUGCAAGAAAAUGCAUUAAAAUCGUCUGCCUAAGAAAAAUUAAAUUAUUUUGGGAACUUUUUUAUAAUUUUGGAUUUUUGGGUUAAAUGACAUUUAGGUGGUAAUAGGUGUCUUCCUCUACUCGGAUCGGACUGUCAAUUUUUUUCUACACUUUUAGGUGUAUUUUGUGCAAGAAAAUGCAUUAAAAUCGUCUGCCUAAGAAAAAUUAAAUUAUUUUGGGAACUUUUUUAUAAUUUUGGAUUUAUGGGUUAAAUGACAUUUAGGUGGUAAUAGGUGUCUUCCUCUACUCGGAUCGGGCUGUCAAUUUUUUUCUACACUUUUAGGUGUAUUUUGUGCAAGAAAAUGCAUUAAAAUCGUCUGCCUAAGAAAAAUUAAAUUAUUUUGGGAACUUUUUUAUAAUUUUGGAUUUUUGGGUUAAAUGACAUUUAGGUGGUAAUAGGUGUCUUCCUCUACUCGGAUCGGGCUGUCAAUUUUUUUCUACACUUUUAGGUGUAUUUUGUGCAAGAAAAUGCAUUAAAAUCGUCUGCCUAAGAAAAAUUAAAUUAUUUUGGGAACUUUUUUAUAAUUUUGGAUUUAUGGGUUAAAUGACAUUUAGGUGGUAAUAGGUGUCUUCCUCUACUCUUUUUUGGCUGUCAAUUUUUUUCUACACUUUUGGGUGUAUUUUGUGCAAGAAAAUGCAUUAAAAUCGUCUGCCUAAGAAAAAUUAAAUUAUUUUGGGAACUUUUUUAUAAUUUUGGAUUUAUGGGUUAAAUGACAUUUAGGUGGUAAUAGGUGUCUUCCUCUACUCGGAUCGGACUGUCAAUUUUUUUCUACACUUUUAGGUGUAUUUUGUGCAAGAAAAUGCAUUAAAAUCGUCUGCCUAAGAAAAAUUAAAUUAUUUUGGGAACUUUUUUAUAAUUUUGGAUUUAUGGGUUAAAUGACAUUUAGGUGGUAAUAGGUGUCUUCCUCUACUCGGAUCGGGCUGUCAAUUUUUUUCUACACUUUUAGGUGUAUUUUGUGCAAGAAAAUGCAUUAAAAUCGUCUGCCUAAGAAAAAUUAAAUUAUUUUGGGAACUUUUUUAUAAUUUUGGAUUUAUGGGUUAAAUGACAUUUAGGUGGUAAUAAGUGUCUUCCUCUACUCUUUUUUGGCUGUCAAUUUUUUUCUACACUUUUAGGUGUAUUUUGUGCAAGAAAAUGCAUUAAAAUCGUCUGCCUAAGAAAAAUUAAAUUAUUUUGGGAACUUUUUUAUAAUUUUGGAUUUAUGGGUUAAAUGACAUUUAGGUGGUAAUAAGUGUCUUCCUCUACUCGGAUCGGGCUGUCAAUUUUUUUCUACACUUUUAGGUGUAUUUUGUGCAAGAAAAUGCAUUAAAAUCGUCUGCCUAAGAAAAAUUAAAUUAUUUUGGGAACUUUUUUAUAAUUUUGGAUUUUUGGGUUAAAUGACAUUUAGGUGGUAAUAGGUGUCUUCCUCUACUCGGAUCGGACUGUCAAUUUUUUUCUACACUUUUAGGUGUAUUUUGUGCAAGAAAAUGCAUUAAAAUCGUCUGCCUAAGAAAAAUUAAAUUAUUUUGGGAACUUUUUUAUAAUUUUGGAUUUAUGGGUUAAAUGACAUUUAGGUGGUAAUAGGUGUCUUCCUCUACUCGGAUCGGGCUGUCAAUUUUUUUCUACACUUUUAGGUGUAUUUUGUGCAAGAAAAUGCAUUAAAAUCGUCUGCCUAAGAAAAAUUAAAUUAUUUUGGGAACUUUUUUAUAAUUUUGGAUUUAUGGGUUAAAUGACAUUUAGGUGGUAAUAGGUGUCUUCCUCUACUCGGAUCGGGCUGUCAAUUUUUUUCUACACUUUUAGGUGUAUUUUGUGCAAGAAAAUGCAUUAAAAUCGUCUGCCUAAGAAAAAUUAAAUUAUUUUGGGAACUUUUUUAUAAUUUUGGAUUUAUGGGUUAAAUGACAUUUAGGUGGUAAUAAGUGUCUUCCUCUACUCGGAUCGGGCUGUCAAUUUUUUUCUACACUUUUAGGUGUAUUUUGUGAAGGAAAAUGCAUUAAAAUCGUCUGCCUAAGAAAAAUUAAAUUAUUUUGGAAACUUUUUUAUAAUUUUGGAUUUUUGGGUUAAAUGACAUUUAGGUGGUAAUAGGUGUCUUCCUCUACUCGGAUCGGGCUGUCAAUUUUUUUCUACACUUUUAGGUGUAUUUUGUGCAAGAAAAUGCAUUAAAAUCGUCUGCCUAAGAAAAAUUAAAUUAUUUUGGGAACUUUUUUAUAAUUUUGGAUUUAUGGGUUAAAUGACAUUUAGGUGGUAAUAGGUGUCUUCCUCUACUCGGAUCGGGCUGUCAAUUUUUUUCUACACUUUUAGGUGUAUUUUGUGCAAGAAAAUGCAUUAAAAUCGUCUGCCUAAGAAAAAUUAAAUUAUUUUGGGAACUUUUUUAUAAUUUUGGAUUUAUGGGUUAAAUGACAUUUAGGUGGUAAUAGGUGUCUUCCUCUACUCGGAUCGGGCUGUCAAUUUUUUUCUACACUUUUAGGUGUAUUUUGUGCAAGAAAAUGCAUUAAAAUCGUCUGCCUAAGAAAAAUUAAAUUAUUUUGGGAACUUUUUUAUAAUUUUGGAUUUAUGGGUUAAAUGACAUUUAGGUGGUAAUAAGUGUCUUCCUCUACUCGGAUCGGGCUGUCAAUUUUUUUCUACACUUUUAGGUGUAUUUUGUGAAGGAAAAUGCAUUAAAAUCGUCUGCCUAAGAAAAAUUAAAUUAUUUUGGAAACUUUUUUAUAAUUUUGGAUUUUUGGGUUAAAUGACAUUUAGGUGGUAAUAGGUGUCUUCCUCUACUCGGAUCGGGCUGUCAAUUUUUUUCUACACUUUUAGGUGUAUUUUGUGCAAGAAAAUGCAUUAAAAUCGUCUGCCUAAGAAAAAUUAAAUUAUUUUGGGAACUUUUUUAUAAUUUUGGAUUUAUGGGUUAAAUGACAUUUAGGUGGUAAUAGGUGUCUUCCUCUACUCGGAUCGGGCUGUCAAUUUUUUUCUACACUUUUAGGUGUAUUUUGUGCAAGAAAAUGCAUUAAAAUCGUCUGCCUAAGAAAAAUUAAAUUAUUUUGGGAACUUUUUUAUAAUUUUGGAUUUAUGGGUUAAAUGACAUUUAGGUGGUAAUAAGUGUCUUCCUCUACUCUUUUUUGGCUGUCAAUUUUUUUCUACACUUUUAGGUGUAUUUUGUGCAAGAAAAUGCUUUAAAAUCGUCUGCCUAAGAAAAAUUAAAUUAUUUUGGGAACUUUUUUAUAAUUUUGGAUUUAUGGGUUAAAUGACAUUUAGGUGGUAAUAGGUGUCUUCCUCUACUCGGAUCGGGCUGUCAAUUUUUUUCUACACUUUUAGGUGUAUUUUGUGCAAGAAAAUGCAUUAAAAUCGUCUGCCUAAGAAAAAUUAAAUUAUUUUGGGAACUUUUUUAUAAUUUUGGAUUUAUGGGUUAAAUGACAUUUAGGUGGUAAUAGGUGUCUUCCUCUACUCGGAUCGGGCUGUCAAUUUUUUUCUACACUUUUAGGUGUAUUUUGUGCAAGAAAAUGCAUUAAAAUCGUCUGCCUAAGAAAAAUUAAAUUAUUUUGGGAACUUUUUUAUAAUUUUGGAUUUAUGGGUUAAAUGACAUUUAGGUGGUAAUAAGUGUCUUCCUCUACUCGGAUCGGGCUGUCAAUUUUUUUCUACACUUUUAGGUGUAUUUUGUGAAGGAAAAUGCAUUAAAAUCGUCUGCCUAAGAAAAAUUAAAUUAUUUUGGAAACUUUUUUAUAAUUUUGGAUUUUUGGGUUAAAUGACAUUUAGGUGGUAAUAGGUGUCUUCCUCUACUCGGAUCGGGCUGUCAAUUUUUUUCUACACUUUUAGGUGUAUUUUGUGCAAGAAAAUGCAUUAAAAUCGUCUGCCUAAGAAAAAUUAAAUUAUUUUGGGAACUUUUUUAUAAUUUUGGAUUUAUGGGUUAAAUGACAUUUAGGUGGUAAUAGGUGUCUUCCUCUACUCGGAUCGGGCUGUCAAUUUUUUUCUACACUUUUAGGUGUAUUUUGUGCAAGAAAAUGCAUUAAAAUCGUCUGCCUAAGAAAAAUUAAAUUAUUUUGGGAACUUUUUUAUAAUUUUGGAUUUAUGGGUUAAAUGACAUUUAGGUGGUAAUAAGUGUCUUCCUCUACUCUUUUUUGGCUGUCAAUUUUUUUCUACACUUUUAGGUGUAUUUUGUGCAAGAAAAUGCUUUAAAAUCGUCUGCCUAAGAAAAAUUAAAUUAUUUUGGGAACUUUUUUAUAAUUUUGGAUUUAUGGGUUAAAUGACAUUUAGGUGGUAAUAAGUGUCUUCCUCUACUCUUUUUUGGCUGUCAAUUUUUUUCUACACUUUUAGGUGUAUUUUGUGCAGGAAAAUGCAUUAAAAUCGUCUGCCUAAGAAAAAUUAAAUUAUUUUGGAAACUUUUUUAUAAUUUUGGAUUUUUGGGUUAAAUGACAUUUAGGUGGUAAUAGGUGUCUUCCUCUACUCGGAUCGGGCUGUCAAUUUUUUUCUACACUUUUAGGUGUAUUUUGUGCAAGAAAAUGCAUUAAAAUCGUCUGCCUAAGAAAAAUUAAAUUAUUUUGGGAACUUUUUUAUAAUUUUGGAUUUAUGGGUUAAAUGACAUUUAGGUGGUAAUAGGUGUCUUCCUCUACUCGGAUCGGACUGUCAAUUUUUUUCUACACUUUUAGGUGUAUUUUGUGCAAGAAAAUGCAUUAAAAUCGUCUGCCUAAGAAAAACUAAAUUAUUUUGGGAACUUUUUUAUAAUUUUGGAUUUAUGGGUUAAAUGACAUUUAGGUGGUAAUAAGUGUCUUCCUCUACUCUUUUUUGGCUGUCGAUUUUUUUCUACACUUUUAGGUGUAUUUUGUGCAAGAAUAUGCAAUAAAAUCGUCUGCCUAAGAAAAAUUGAAUUUUUUUGGAAAAUUUUUUUUUUACCUGGAUGACUUUUUGGUGGUAAUAGAGGUCUUCCUCUACACGGAUUUGGCUGUCAAUUUUUUGCUACACUUUUAGGUGUAUUUUGUUCAAGAAUAUGCAAUAAAAUCGUCCGCCUAAAAAAAAUUGAAUUUUUUUGGAAAUUUUU